rnacentral:rRNA from 1 species
AUGCAAGGAUCAGAGGAAGGCGGGGAGCUGGCCUUCUCCAUGUCUCGGGGGAGAGUGUCUUCCUUGGAUUCAACAAGAAGGGGACCCGACCUUCUUCACAUCUCGUGCAACAAGGGUGAUCGACGCAGACUAGCACAGCCCGGUGGUGUCGUGCUCUUCAACCACUCGGAGACGGACUUCGCCAUGAAGCCCGAAGACUACAUCGUGCAGAUGACCAUCCAGAUGAUUGUGAAUUGUGACACCGGAGGUCGCCGAGGUGGAGGACCUCGACGCCACCGUCCGGCGGGAGGGAGGGUUCGGGUCCACCGGUGGUUGAACUCCGAAUCUUGGUAG